rnacentral:rRNA from 1 species
GAAGAAAGAGGGAGGAGGGAGGAAAAAAGGAAAGUAGAAAGGAAAGGCCCUGCUUUUGUGGGGUGCUCGAGUGGCGAACGGGUGAGUAACACGUGAGUAACCUGCCCUUUACUUUGGGAUAACUUCAGGAAACUGGGGCUAAUACCGGAUAGUAGCUCCUGCUGCCUGGUGGGGGUUGGAAAGUUUCGGCGGUUGGGGAUGGACUCGCGGCUUGUCAGCUUGUUGGUGGGGUAGUGGCUUACCAAGGCUUUGACGGGUAGCCGGCCUGAGAGGGUGACCGGCCAGAUUGGGACUGAGAUACGGCCGGAGCGCCUACGGGAGGCAGCAGUGGGGAAGAUGGCAGAAUGGGCGGAAGCCUGAGGCAGCAACGCCGAGUGCGGGGUGACGGCCUUCGGGUUGUAACCCGAUUACGCCUGUGACGAAGCGUGAGUGAGGGUAAUGGGUAAAGAAGCACCGGCUAACUACGUA